AUGGAAUAUGAAAGGUGGCUUCUUGAUUUUGACGGCAGAGGAUAUCGGUUUGAACCUGAAUACACCCAAGAGGAGCUACGGGAGAUGGAGGCUAGGGCUACGGAGGCGCCUGAAGCUCCGGCUGAAGCGGUCCCCAGGAUCACGGGAAAUUGGUGGUGUGCCUGUGGGAAGUGCAGGCAGAUGCCGACGGAGCAUGAAAGUACGUGCUGCACGGAGUGGGACCUUGUCGUCACAGCUGGUAUGGCCAACCUCAAUGUCUCGGUCGACGAGACUGUGUCGACCUGCAUCUCUCUAAAUGAAGUGCGCCAUCUCCUGAACAAAACCGUGCUGGAGACUUUCUUCUGGGUCCCUAAAAUGAACUGGAAGAAACGCCCCACACCCGAAGGACCGAAUGGCCAACUGUCAGAUAGGCAAUACCGACUUGUGGCUUAUCGAGUCAUUCUGGAGUGGGCCCUCAAAGGAUAACCACUGGGACGAGGAAAUCGCCUUGGAUUACCCAGUUGCGUGGUGUGGGCUGUUAGGGAUGCAUUCCCAUCCCCCACUGGACAGUAUGCUGGGUUUAAACCCAGUGAGAUAGAGGAAUUAUUCUGAAUUCAUUCUUUUUUAUUCUUAUUCCAAUGUAUAUCUUACCCUUCUGUUCCUACCUUAUGUUCCUACCUAACUGCAUUGCGUUUACUUUUUAAUUUCUUCUCAAUAAAAAACUUUUGUUCAAAAAUCUUUGCAGUUUUAUUUAGAAAGUGCACACUAGUGUCUGUAGGCCUAAACAUGUUUUCCUAAUGGGUAAAGGUAGACAUAAGCCGACUGUAUUUACAAACAUAUUUACAACACUACCACUUGAACACCCUACACUUCACACUUUAUUACACCUCAUUACUUUAUUAUUAUUGAUGCUGCUACUUAUUUAUUUUUAUACUUAUUUUAUAUUUUUUACUUGCAGCUAUGUGUAUGUUGAGGAACCAAGCCUAAUAAUUUUGCUCUUGUGUAGCCUACUGUACAAUAAGGUGUAAUAAAAGUGAUUCUGAUUCUGACAUAAACAAAUUUACCAUCUGGAUCCUUGGUUUUUCAAGCAUCAGUGUGGCGAGGGAAUCUGGAUUGAUGUUUCCAGAUUACAUCUUCCUUGGGGGGUCUCUCCUUAGUGGCAAUGUUUGCAGGCCGCUGGACAUGUGGUAUGUCUUCCGGUGUUCUUUCCUCCCUUCUCUCCAACACGAGUUUCACAAGGUGUUGCGUGAAGUACUGACCUGUAGGCUCAUAGAUCUUCUUGGCUACCCAUUCCUUGCUCUGUUUUGGGAACACCAUACUGUAUCUUGGAAGUCCUACACAGAGAACAUUAUUUCUUAGCCAAGUUGUUACAAACACAUUUAGGGGCUUACUUAUGAAAUCUCAAUACCUUCAGAAGUCUCUGUCUGCUGUCGGCCGACAUUGUAAUUGUUGUCCAGGAUGGCUAGUUGUGUUCGGGCUACCAUGGUGUCGUACCGAAAAUGCAGUCGUUUAGGCAGAUAUUUUAGCAUAACGUUGUGGUACACCUCCAAAGAUCCUGUAAAUUAAAGUGUUUCAUUAGACAUUGAGAGAGUGACUACAUAGGUUGAAAAGUUGCAUAGAUCCGUUUCAUAAUGCUAUAUACCUGUAUGUUUGAAGCGAGUCAUCUGCUCAAGGUCUUUCAGAAGUCUUUUAUCUUCAACAAUAUUCCGUAAAGACUUGAACACUUGAGACUCUGGCUGGAGCCAUCGCUUUGUCCUUUGCUGAUCUGGGUUUAGAGCAGGGUGAGGGCAUGCCCACUUUCUUCCAUCUUGCUCCCAUGUGUGCUCCCCACAGAUGUGGUGGAGGACUGAGGUCCACCGUCACUUCAGUUCCUACAGAAUAUAUUACAUUUCAAGACUAUUUGAUAAUCUUCUGACUGGAUUUCAGUGCAAUCUUUAUAAAUUCUUUAUACAUUGGGGUUAUUACCUCAGCACUCUCGCCACAAGAUGAGCAUGAGAACCAAAAGUGAUUGAGGAUCGCCCGAAUCCAGCCCUGCAGGACCCGAUUUUCCUUUUUGUUGGCGAGUGCUACCAGUUUUUUCUUUAUGCCUGUGUAAUAGUAAUGAAACACAUUACCACAAAUGUGGGUGAACCAAAUGUGAAGGUUCUCCUUCACAGUACAAGAUAUGUGGUCUUGAUACAUGGAAGGUCUAUCAGGUUAUGAUUUGAUGAGUCAUUGAGUCACUCACAAUUUACAUUGUUUUGAUACAACUAUUUACCGUUUGAUUCAUGCCAAGGAUCAAAUUCAUGGUGAACAUUCUGGAAUUCCUCCCUCAUUAUUUUCCGAACUGAUGUGGCCCGGUCUGUAGUGAUGAGGUCUAUAUCUACUCCUUCAUUGAAAAUUAGAUGGUUGAGGCCCCUCCUACAGCCUUGGGACUCCAUGGCAACUGAACUGCUAGCUUCCGUUACCUAUUGACGAAAGAGAAUAGAAAUGAAUGAAUGAGCAAUAGCAAAAAAACAAAUACAAUACACCCACUGAAUAAUGCUUUAUCUAUACUCUGUCACCUAGAGUAUAGUUUCAGACAAGCAGCAUUUUAGUUUUACCUGUAGUAGUUCAAAGUGAAUGAUCUCAUUACUGGAUAGAAGCUGAAACGAAUAGGUGGAAUACUUGCAGCUGUAGCCUGUAGAAUGUAAUAGUGUAACAACAUGUGAGUCUUCCUUACUAUCCAGAGAAAAACAUUUCCAACAGUCUUACAAUCCAUACCUCCAUGUUAUUGUAUUAAAGAAAAAAAACACACUCACCUGGUGAGUCAGACCUGGCAUUUCCACACAGCUCUAUGGAUAAAACAAUUAUAAUCUAGGAUAUAAAUUCUCCCCGUCAACUAUAAAAAGGAUGGCUUUAUGUUUAUUGCAAUACAAAUACACCAUUUUAAAAAUGUAUAACCUUGCCUACACUUUAUGAACAUUUACUUCGGACAUGGCUCCACGCAUUCGCCGGCUUCUUUGAAAACAAAUGCACAUGGCUCGUGUAGCAGGGUUAAUGCUUCCCACUUGCCAUUGCCAGCGAGAUCCUUGCGCUGGCUGUGGUAGUGGGAGCCUUGGUUGGAGUGCUAGAGCUCCCCCUAGCGGAAUGCGGGGGUUGUAUUGUACGUUGCUGCCUCCUCUCCUCAGUCUACGUAUACCCCGGCUGGGAGAGGCUGCCAUUGUGAGGGUUCUCAAAGAGCAUUUCCCAUGUUAAUAUUCCACCAGAAUAAACGGCUGGCUGCCAAUGGUUCCAUCGUGGUCUCAAUCACAACGCAACGAGAGAGUACGCAACCGCUACAAAUGGUGCCGUGACCCGUUCUUCUCUGCCUGUCUGCUGCGUCAUUGAGGAUCGCCAUUCAACACGUGGCACGUGAGCACCGACGACGUGGCCGUGCAGUGAGUCGCCCGUGCUGCUUCUAGUAGACAGGUUCAGUAAUAAAAAUAAAGAGGAAUAGUUCGAACCAAGGGAUAUGGUUACUGCCGACCAUCUUGUAAAGAUAUAUGUGUUUUAAUUUUUUUGUGUUUUAUUUUAUUUUUAUUUCUCCUCGUGCACAUAAUGCAAAUUGUUUUCUUUUUUUGCUUUUGAGUUGAACGUGACAUUUGAACAGUGACGUGUCAUUAGUUGUGUAUGUGUUUUUAUUUCUUUACUAUUGUCACUGCAUAACGUACAUUUUGGGUUUUGGGAAAUUGUGACUCAUUAAAGAUGGAUGAGCUGAACUUAUCUGCUUUAGGCAGGGGUCAGACAUUUAUGUUUAGCCCAUCACUCCAGAAAGGAGGUUUUCGGGGGAGCAUAAAGACAGACAGACCCCAUAAAGUCGGGCAACGAGAGAGUACGCAACCGCUACACUCGCGUAGAAGUGCAUGGGGAAGGGUCGUCAACGAGUUGUUACGACAGUGUUGUAAAAUAUCUACUAUGAAGCUGUAGGGGGCGCUGUGUAGAGAAAUGUGCGUGCCAAAACCAAGAAAACAGCGAAGAAAUUCCCGAAGUUGCAUAGUGGGCCUUUAAAAGUCUAAAAAAUGUCUUAAAUUUCAUUUUCCUAAAUUAAGGCCUUAAAAAGUCUUAAAUUGCGUUACCCAAGUCUUAAUUUUUUAAAGAUGGUCUUAAAAUUCCUACUAGGAUAUGUUUUCGUAGUCAACCGGACUGUAACACAAGGGGAAAAUGGGGGGCGUUUUGCGUAUCGGGGUUUUGCGUAACGUCAGAGAACGUCUCAUUUAUUGGAGUAUGCGCGAACAAUACUUUGGGUUUUCGCGCCGGCAAUCUCAACAAACAUAAUCAGUCGAGAGGAGACGCCAAAUCAUGGGGAAGCAAGCAGGGCUCUCAAGUCUCACGCAUUCGGCGUGAGACACACGCAAUUCGACCCAUGCACACGCUCACAUGCCACACUUCGUAUUUCUCACGCAGAGAAAUUACCAGGAUAGCGCCCACCAACUUGCGCCACUAUUUAACAGUGGAACAGGUAGGAAUCAAAUGGGUUCCCCAUACGAAGGGUGACCAGACGUCCUCUUUUUCCCAGACAUGCCCUCUUUUUGAGACAGAAUUUCAAAAUCGUCCGGGAUUUUAUUAAAGCCUCAUACAUGUUCACAUUGAAUUUGCGCUGCGUUCCUCUGGGUCGGUCACAAACUACUUAAGCCUCGCCUCCCCACCUCAGUUCUGUUUGCUAUGCAUUGCUGGAAGUGAGUAGGGGGAGUGGUUAAGUAGAGCCUUCAGAUUGGACGGUUUGACUUUAGAGUUACCGUCAUGUUUUGUAUUUUUUUUUUUUUGCCAUUAUUGUUUUAUAGGGACAAACAUUAACUAAUUUCUCCUACAGGGGAUUGAUAAAGUUAUAUCUAUUGAACAGAAAGAAACACUUGGUCAUACUUUACACACUUUACCACAGCAUUGGCCUACUGAAUGCCACAGAUAUAUUUUAAGCAUUGGACUGAAUGCCACAUAAAUAUAUAAUUAUGUUUUUGCACGUUUGCAACGUUUAAAAGUUCAAGGAAAAGUAUAGCCUCUACUGGUGUUGCUUAGGCCAAUAUCCUUUUGAGGCAAUGUUGUUUCCGAAUAUUAGUGUUAAGGGCCAAUAAUGCUUACUAUCAUACAUUAGUCACCAUGUCUGUGGACGGGUUAGGGUUAGGGUUAGGGUUCGGGCUGGCUCCAUACAUUACGAAGGAGUUAGUAAAAGAGGUCAACGAGGCAAGUGGUGGAUUCAUCGAAAUGGUUGAGGAAAUUUGAAUGCUGAGAAACUACAGCAAUUUGAAAAGAGUUUGUUUGUUUAUAUUUUAUAUUGUGUGUUGAAGUUUGAUAUUUAAACCAAAAAUACAGCUACACUUUCACACCAUCACUUUGUGUAUUGUUUUUUUAAUCUUUUAU
rnacentral:lncRNA from 1 species